rnacentral:snoRNA from 1 species
CGGCGGUGAUGAGUGUGGUUGGUCCGUGUUUCCGACAAGAGAGUGAUGUUAGUACAACCAUCUGAGCCG